CUCCGCCUCCCCCGCUCAUCCUCCCCCCUUUUUGGUCGGCAGCUUCGGAGGUUUAUAAGGGACAGGCUCUGAAUUGAAGCCCAGGUAAACGGCGGCCGUAACUAUAACGGUCCUAAGGUAGCGAAAUUCCUUGUCGGGUAAGUUCCGACCUGCACGAAUGGCGUAACGACUUCCCCGCUGUCUCCAACAUAGACUCAGCGAAAUUGAAUUACCGGUCAAGAUGCCGGUUACCCGCGGUUAGACGGAAAGACCCCGUGCACCUUUACUACAGCUUCACACUGGCAUCAGGCACAACAUGUGCAGGAUAGGUGGUAGGCUUUGAAACCGGAACGCCAGUUUCGGUGGAGCCUUCCUUGAGAUACCACCCUUGUUCUGCUUGAUGUCUAACCGCGAUCCCUUAUCGGGACCCGGGACCCUGUGUGGCGGGUAGUUUGACUGGGGCGGUCGCCUCCUAAAGCGUAACGGAGGCGCGCGAAGGUUGGCUCAGAGCGGUCGGAAAUCGCUCGUUGAGUGCAAUGGCAGAAGCCAGCCUGACUGCGAGACUGACAAGUCGAGCAGAGUCGAAAGACGGCCAUAGUGAUCCGGUGGUCCCAAGUGGGAGGGCCAUCGCUCAACGGAUAAAAGGUACGCCGGGGAUAACAGGCUGAUACUGCCCAAGAGUCCAUAUCGACGGCAGUGUUUGGCACCUCGAUGUCGGCUCAUCUCAUCCUGGGGCUGGAGCAGGUCCCAAGGGUACGGCUGUUCGCCGUUUAAAGAGGUACGUGAGCUGGGUUUAGAACGUCGUGAGACAGUUCGGUCCCUAUCUUCCGUGGGUGUAGGAUACUUGAGAGGAGUUGCCCCUAGUACGAGAGGACCGGGGUGAACGAUCCACUGGUGGACCAGUUGUUAUGCCAAUAGCAGUGCUGGGUAGCUAUGAUCGGACAGGAUAACCGCUGAAGGCAUCUAAGCGGGAAGCCCCCCUCAAAACAAGGUAUCCCUGAGAGCCGAGAUAGACCAUCUCGUCGAUAGGCCAGAGAUGUAAGCGUGGUAACACGUUCAGUUGACUGGUACUAAUUGCUCGAUAGGCUUGAUUUG
rnacentral:rRNA from 1 species